GCCUCUUUCGUUGGAUCGGCCAGGUUCCAACCAUGCGGCCGGCCCAUGCGCCGGCGUCGGCGGCGCGCGGAGGCCGGGCGCUGUACGAGCUGUACAGGGCGGCGAGCCGCGCGGCGGCGCCGGCGGUGCUCCUGUGGCGGCGGCUGCGAGGGCUGGAGCACCAGUCGCGCUGGCCUGAGCGGCUGGGCCGGCCGUCGGUCGCGCGGCCUCGGCCAGGCUCGCCGCUCGUGUGGUUCCACGCCGUCUCCCUCGGCGAGGGCAUGGCCGCGCUCCCGGUCGUUUUUCACUGCGCGCGCCUCCACCCCGGCCUCCCUAUCCUCCUCACCACCACCACUCUCUCCGCCUUCAAAGUGAUAAAGGAUUUGCUACCCGAUGUUGUCAUAUAUCAGUUUGCACCUCUUGACUGUCCUGACGCAAUAGAAAGUUUCAUUGGAUACUGGAAGCCAAGUUUGAUUCUUCUCAUGGAAAGUGAAUUGUGGCCAAACCUCAUCAUGUCUGCAGCAGAGAAAGGGAUUGCAGUGGCUCUUUUAAAUGCCCGCAUGUCCUUGAAGUCGCUCAACCGUUGGUCUGUGCCUCUAGGGUUACCAUUAGUCUCUCUGAUGCUCUCGAAACUAUCACUUGUUAUCCCACUGAGUACCAUCCAAGCUGUUCGUUUUCAGUUGCUCCAUACACCACCGAACAAAAUCCAUUUCGCUGGCGAUUUAAAAUAUGCUGUUGGUGAUGUUGAGGUUCGGGAGAAAGAGUUGAAUACAAUCAAAGAUCUGCAGCGACAGUUCAAUGAUAGGCCCAUCUGGAUGGCAGCUUCAGUUCACAGAGGUGAAGAGGAAGUCAUUCUCCGCGUUCAUGGCGAGUUAAUCAAGGCGUAUCCUUCGCUACUUUUAAUUCUCGUGCCAAGACAUCCUCAGGACAUCAAGAAUGUUUCUUUAGCACUGAAAAAACAUAAGGUCAAUUUUGUGCUGAGGUCAACAAUGGAAUUGGUGUCUAUAAACACUAGGGUAUACGUGGUUGAUACUUUAGGGGAAUUAAGAAUGCUCUACAGGGUCACUCCAAUAGCAGUUGUGGGAGGCUCAUUUUUACCUAGCUUGUCUGGCCAUAAUUUUUCCGAGGCUGCUGCAGCUGGUUGUGCUGUUCUAACUGGUAAGGCAAAGGUCCCCAUGUUGGACAUUUCUAUCAUAUGCUGGUUGAAAUGUGGCAAAUAAAUCCUCUAGCUGUCAAGCAGUUGACAGGAGAAGCUGAACUGUUGGAGGUGCUAAAAGAACUGCUUGGCGAUUCCAAAGCUCUAGAAGCACGUCAAGGAGCUGCAAAAGAUGCAUUUUCCAUCAUGUCACAUGGAGUUGUGAACCGUGUAUGGAAUCUGGUCUCCAGGUUCGCCAUCGACUCCCAACAGAAACGUGGAAUAGUUGAUUAAGCCUAUUGGAUUUCUUCAGGGACUGCCUCAGUACGUAUGGCGACCCUCCCUCGAAAGCCGGAGGUCUCAAGAAUUUCUUCGUACAACCUGUUUUGCAGUUUUCAUAUGAUUGUACUACCAAACAUCACAUGUCUGUUGAGUGGUGACAAAGGAGACAGAUCUCAAAUUAUAGGCAACCCAACUAGUCCUGCAGUCGCUUGAAGGAACGCUGGAACAGUAUCCCAAUCCUAGUUUUGUCUAUUCUGUUCGAUUUACUCCUAUCUCAGAGAUCUAGUAUUCCCUCCAAUCCAAAUUAAUUGUCACGGCUUUAGUACAACUUAAUAUGUUUCUGGAAAAUUCUUCUGGGCAUAGAUUUCAAAAUGAGACCCAAAUUUAGUUCAGGAA